UACGUAGGGCGCAAGCGUUGUCCGGAAUUAUUGGGCGUAAAGGGCUCGUAGGCGGUUUGUCGCGUCGGGAGUGAAAUCCACUGGCUUAACUGGUGGCUUGCUUUCGAUACGGGCAGACUGGAGGUAUGCAGGGGAGAACGGAAUUCCUGGUGUAGCGGUGAAAUGCGCAGAUAUCAGGAGGAACACCGGUGGCGAAGGCAGCUCGCUGGAACGGUACUGACGCUGAGGCGCGAAAGCGUGGGGAACAAACAGG
rnacentral:rRNA from 1 species